rnacentral:tRNA from 1 species
GGGUCGAUAGCUCAAUGGUAGAGCAGCGCCCUUUUAAGGCGUUGGUUGUGGGUUCGAAUCCCCCUCGACCCACCA